rnacentral:rRNA from 1 species
AACAGCUCACUGGUCGAGUGGACAUGCGCCGACAAUAUACGGGGCUAAGCACGGCACCGAAGCGGCGGGAUUGACCUGGUCAAUCGGUAGGGGAGCUUUCCGUCCGCGGGGAAGCGAGGGGACGACCCCUCGUGGAGCGGCCGGAAGUGAGAAUGCUGGCAUGAGUAGCGAGAGCGGCGUGGGAAACGCCGCCGCCGUAAACCCAAGGUUUCCUGGGCGAGGCUAAUCCUCCCAGGGUCAGUCGGGAGCUAAGGCGAGGCCGGGAGGCGUAGCCGAUGCACAGCAGGUGGACAUUCCUGCACCUCCGAAGCGGAGCUUGACCGACGGGGUGACGGAGAAGGGUAGCCGGACGGGGUUCUGGACGUCCCCGCGAGGCCGCGUAGGGCGGUGCGCAGCGAAGCGCGCGCACCAUGGAGCCUGAGGCGGCGGACGAAGCGACUGAGCGAAGCCGGUGAGCCCAUGCUUCCAAGAAAAGCCCCUAGGGAUCCGCGAGGAGCCCGUACCGCAAACCGACACAGGUGGGUGGGUAGAACAUACCAAGGCGAUCGGGUCAACCAUGGUUAAGGAACUCGGCAAAACUGCCCCGUAACUUCGGGAGAAGGGGUGCCGGGCCCGGUGGAGGAACUAGCUUCCCGAGCCGGGGCCGGCCACAGCGAAGAGGUCCAAACGACUGUUUAUCAAAAACACAGGACUCUGCUCAAGCCGUAAGGCGACGCAUAGGGUCUGACGCCUGCCCGGUGCCGGAAGGUCACGGGGAGCCGUCAUCCUUCGGGAGAAGCGGCGAACCCAAGCCCCGGUAAACGGCGGCCGUAACUAUAACGGUCCUAAGGUAGCGAAAUUCCUUGUCGGGUAAGUUCCGACCUGCACGAAAGGCGCAACGAUUUGGACGCUGUCUCGACCAUGGCCCCGGCGAAAUUGCACUAGUCGUGAAGAUGCGACUUACCCGCGGAAGGACGGAAAGACCCCGUGAACCUUUACUGCAGCUAGGCAUUGGCUGCCGGUCCGUCGCGUAGAGGAUAGGUGGGAGGCUUUGAACCGAGGGCGCCAGCCCCCGGGGAGCCACCCUUGGAAUACCACCCCCGACGUUCUGGCAUCCUAACCCCGGGCCCUCGACGGGCCGGGGGACCGUGCCUGGUGGGUAGUUUGACUGGGGCGGUCGCCUCCCAAAGAGUAACGGAGGCGCGCGCAAGGUCUGCUCGGGACGGUCGGCAACCGUCCUUGAGAGUGCAAGAGCGUAAGCAGGCUUGACUGCGAGACGUACGUGUCGAGCAGGUGGGAAACCAGGCUCUAGUGAUCCGGCGGCCCAGAGUGGAAUGGCCGUCGCUCAACGGAUAAAAGGUACUCCGGGGAUAACAGGCUGAUCUUCCCCAAGAGUCCACAUCGACGGGAAGGUUUGGCACCUCGAUGUCGGCUCAUCGCAUCCUGGGGCUGGAGCAGGUCCCAAGGGUACGGCUGUUCGCCGUUUAAAGCGGUACGCGAGCUGGGUUCAGAACGUCGUGAGACAGUUCGGUCCCUAUCCUCCGUGGGCGCAGGAAGACUGAGGGAGGCUGCCCCUAGUACGAGAGGACCGGGGUGGACGGACCUCCGGUGCACGGGUUGUUCACCAAGAGCACCGCCCGGUAGCCGAGUCCGGUCUGGAUAACCGCUGAAGGCAUCUAAGCGGGAAGCCAGUCCCGAGAUGAGUCUUCCCUUCGGUAAGGGCCCUCGUAGACCACGAGGUCGAUAGGGCGCAGGUGCAAGCGCGGCGACGCGCUCAGCCGAGCGUCACUAAUAGCCCGAGCUCUUCCCUU